GUGUAGCGGUGAAAUGCGUAGAGAUGUGGAGGAACACCAGUGGCGAAGGCGGCUUUUUGGUCUGUAACUGACGCUGAGGCGCGAAAGCGUGGGGAGCAAACAGGAUUAGAUACCCUGGUAGUCCACGCCGUAAACGAUGAGUGCUAAGUGUUAGAGGGUUUCCGCCCUUUAGUGCUGCAGCUAACGCAUUAAGCACUCCGCCUGGGGAGUACGGUCGCAAGACUGAAACUCAAAGGAAUUGA
rnacentral:rRNA from 1 species